CCUAUCACACACGGGCAAGUAGAAGUUGCUGAGGUCAUAUGUAAGCUGAACAAUCCCUUCAGGUACUACUACUACUACUACUACUACUGCUGUUAACUUCUCCUGAUGCGUGUCCAUCUCAGAUAGACCACAAGAGGGAGGAAAGGACUGGAUGCACAGUGACCUCCCAAGUUCAGAUGUACUGCUACAUGGAGUCAGGCACAUGGGAUGAAGUUUGAGUCAGAUAUUAAACGCCUCAUCCAUCCGUUCCAUGUCCAUGAAGCGGACUCUUAAGCCCGAAAAGUUCACGACAAAGCCACUGCUGCAUUUGGGGAUUCAUCCAGAUGAUGCAGUCAGUGGCACAGUUGUCUUCUACAUGUGCAUGCUUAUUUUAUUUGUAGCUGUGUGAGGUCUCACUUGUCAGUGCAUGUUAUCGAGGACUGGCCCGAUCCCUCCCUGCUUGAAGACCAGCAGUAGUACUUGGAGACAAAAAAAAAAGUCAACACAGCCUGAUGGCAAAGACACGACACGGGUGAGCUGUUUGUUUACUCCCAUUGCCUAUGUUAAUUUAGACAUGCAAGAUCUAAUCACCAUGAUGUGUGUGAAAAAGGGGGAGAAGAAAGGUAUGGAUGAGAUGUGGCCAAAGCCAAUGCUGUCUACGAUUCGAAGAACGAGGAGGAGACUUCACCUGUGAAUGUGGUGACGACGAGCUCGUAGUAGCGGCCGACCUCGACAUCCACAAGAUCCACCACCUUGAU
rnacentral:lncRNA from 1 species